AAGGGCUAGUAGAGUUAUGGCUAUUGGACAAUAUUUUGAAACAGCUCGAAAUCCAUGCCUCUUUAAUGCCUGACUUGUGUUUUCAGAGCUGAUGAUUGCACU